rnacentral:rRNA from 1 species
UACGGAGGGUGCAAGCGUUAUCCGGAUUUAUUGGGUUUAAAGGGUCCGUAGGCGGACAAUUAAGUCAGCGGUGAAAGCCCACAGCUCAACUGUGGAACUGCCAUUGAUACUGGUUGUCUUGAGUACGGUUGAUGUUGGCGGAAUAAGUCAUGUAGCGGUGAAAUGCAUAGAUAUGACUUGGAACCCCGAUUGCGAAGGCAGCCAACAAAGCCGAAACUGACGCUGAGGGACGAAAGCGUGGGUAGCGAACAGGAUUAGAUACCCUGGUAGUCCACGCUGUAAACGAUGAUUACUCGGUAUUGGCGCAAGUCAGUGCCCAAGCGAAAGUGAUAAGUAAUCCACCUGGGGAGUACGGCCGCAAGGUUGAA